GCCUGGGUGGCUCAGUCGGUGAAGCGUCCGACUUCAGCUCAGGUCAUGAUCUCGCAGUUUGUGGGUUCGAGCCCCACGUCGGGCU
rnacentral:tRNA from 1 species